UGGACUUGGUCCUGGCCUCACUUAAUAAACCUGGUGAGAAAAGCACAGGGCUGGUAUCUUCUCAGAGCCUCUACAUGGCUGGUUCAGAGGAACAUCCUUCCUCCCUGCACUGACAGCCCCUGGAGGAGACCCAGACAGAGAGUGAGCUGAGGCUCCCCUUCCCAGGAGUGGCUGGCAAUCGAGAAAGCUGCAGAGAAGCGUAUGCUGUGACAUCCGGCUCUUAGACCCUCAGCAUUCCUCCCAGGAUGCCCACCCCUCUCUCCUGUCUGAGGAGCUGGAAGCAGCCUCCUGGAUCCUCUGGGAGAAGAAGGCAGCACGCGGCCAGGGAUGGACAAGACCAACAUUACUGCCGUAAUUCUAAAUGCCUGAAGCUUAAGAAAUCCACCACCGGAUUGAGGUAACCGGAUACAAAAUGACUUGCACUGUUUAGAAAGUAAGGUUUCUGCACCGUGCACGGGCUGUGCGCGCCUGUAUUUAGAAGUCAGCGCAGGACCUCAGCUGACGCUUCCGCACCUGCCAGGAGUUGCUGAUGUGAACCAGGUGGCCUGCUUCAAGCCGAAUUCAAUUACCCAGAUGGCAACUGUUUCCUAAUUCAAAGCUUUAACAUUGGCCUUAUUUUUUUUUUCCAUUAUGAAAAAUGAGAGGGGGCAGAAAAUACAUAGAGUCUGAGCACUUCUGGUUUAUGAGAUUAGAGGCAAGAUAGGGAAAUGGG